AUGCCACCUUCCGUGCACGACACGGAAGGCCUGCCGUUCAUGAAGCAUGGUUGUGUCUUCAGUGCGCACCACCGGAUGAACGACAUGCUGGGACACGCUAUCCCUGAUUUAUGCCGAUUCAGCUUGGAUGAGUCUCCAUCGUGUGGAACCGGACUAGAAAGCCGCGACAAUGAUUCCCGUUGCCCACCGCUAUGGGUCGUGCCAUCCAUGAAGAACACCUGGGACUGGAACCUGGAGGAGGACAUUACUAGUAGAAUUGAGAUUGAAUGCACUUUCUUCCCCGUCUUCCAUACUUCUUCCUCCUCUCUUCUUCUUCCUCCUCUCUUCCCCAUCGUCGGCCGCACACCAUUUACCCCCGCUCACUGCUCGCCCGCCCGCGCCAUCUUCCUUGGUAGCUCGCGCAAUUACCGAUGCAAGUCGAAGAAGGAUUGGCCGGUGCUGCCGGCUGGCGCCAAGUUCGAUCCCACAGAUCAUGAGCUGAUCGAGCACCUUGAGGCCAAAGUGAGUGCUGACAUCGCAAGAUUUCAAUCUCUCAUCGAUUUGUUCAUACCAACCAUCGACAGCGAGCAUGACAUAUGCUACACCCAACCUAAGAAACUUCCAGCAAAAAAGGUUCUGUUGCUGCACACCAACAAGAACUUCGACCAACAGAGGACGAACUGGGUGAUGCACCAGUACCACCUCAGGGACCUGGAUCAAGAGAAGGAGCGGGAGCUGGUCCUCUGCAAGAUUUUCUACCAGACGAACACUAGGGCCAGGAGUAAAAAGAUUAUAAGUCAAGCAAGUUUCAACUGGGCUGUAGACUGCCCAGGGUUGGUUUUGUUUUUAACAGGCCCAGCCCAUGACGACAACGGGGCACAAAGAUCCAGCAGGUUCUAG
rnacentral:rRNA from 1 species